rnacentral:rRNA from 1 species
GACGAACGCUGGCGGCGUGCCUAAUACAUGCAAGUAGAACGCUGAAGCUUGGUGCUUGCACCGAGCGGAUGAGUUGCGAACGGGUGAGUAACGCGUAGGUAACCUGCCUGGUAGCGGGGGAUAACUAUUGGAAACGAUAGCUGAUACCGCAUAACAGUAUGUAACACAUGUUAGAUGCUUGAAAGAUGCAAUUGCAUCGCUAGUAGAUGGACCUGCGUUGUAUUAGCUAGUAGGUAGGGUAAAGGCCUACCUAGGCAACGAUACAUAGCCGACCUGAGAGGGUGAUCGGCCACACUGGGACUGAGACACGGCCCAGACUCCUACGGGAGGCAGCAGUAGGGAAUCUUCGGCAAUGGGGGGAACCCUGACCGAGCAACGCCGCGUGAGUGAAGAAGGUUUUCGGAUCGUAAAGCUCUGUUGUUAAGGAAGAACGAGUGUGAGAAUGGAAAGUUCAUACUGUGACGGUACUUAACCAGAAAGGGACGGCUAACUACGUGCCAGCAGCCGCGGUAAUACGUAGGUCCCGAGCGUUGUCCGGAUUUAUUGGGCGUAAAGCGGGCGCAGGCGGUUAGAAAAGUCUGAAGUGAAAGGCAGUGGCUCAACCAUUGUAGGCUUUGGAAACUGUUUAACUUGAGUGCAGAAGGGGAGAGUGGAAUUCCAUGUGUAGCGGUGAAAUGCGUAGAUAUAUGGAGGAACACCGGUGGCGAAAGCGGCUCUCUGGUCUGUAACUGACGCUGAGGCUCGAAAGCGUGGGGAGCGAACAGG